rnacentral:rRNA from 1 species
CCUACGGGGUGCAGCAGUGAGGAAUAUUGGUCAAUGGGCGGAAGCCUGAACCAGCCAAGUCGCGUGAGGGAAUAAGGCCCUACGGGUCGUAAACCUCUUUUGCCGGGGAGCAAGGGCGGGGACGUGUCCCGGCCCGGAGAGUACCCGGAGAAAAAGCAUCGGCUAACUCCGUGCCAGCAGCCGCGGUAAUACGGAAGGUCCGGGCGUUAUCCGGAUUUAUUGGGUUUAAAGGGAGCGUAGGCCGCAUGUCAAGCGUGCUGUGAAAUGUCCGGGCUCAACCCGGGCCUUGCAGCGCGAACUGGCGUGCUUGAGUCCGCGGAAAGCAGGCGGAAUUCGUCGUGUAGCGGUGAAAUGCUUAGAUAUGACGAAGAACCCCGAUUGCGAAGGCAGCUUGCUGCAGCGGAACUGACGCUGAUGCUCGAAAGCGCGGGUAUCGAACAGGAUUAGAUACCCAGUAGUC